UAUUUUUUGUGAUGGGGCCGCUCUGGAAAGAGGAACUUCUCACAUCAAAGGCACUUUAAACCAGUCUACAUAAGCAGUGAUUAUCUUCUAGUUAGAAUUGGGCCAAGGAAGGGAACAUUUUUGAAUUCUAUCAUAAGAGUGGAUUUGCAUUAGUGUUGGUUAUAAUUCUGAAGCUAGCUCCUCCAAGCUUGCUUUCAAACGAGGAGUCAAAAUUGUCAUCUCCACUUAAUCAAAUUUAUGAUUCUUGUUAGUAAGAUGAGACAAAUAGGUUACUUAGAGAAGUGUACACAGACCCUUCAUGAUAAAGCUCUUGAUCCCUCUCCCGGUCUUGGCUUGUUUAUAAAUGAUUCUCUAGAGACUCAAGGAGUAAGCUUGGGACAAUAAAUACGGUUCCUUGUGUAGGUUAUAAGAUUCAUCUUCCAAUAUUUAUGUUGGGUUUCGAGAAAACUGUGACCCGUGAUGUUAAUGGUAUUAAAAAGAAGGGAGGCUUUGCUAGUUGUUGCCAUAAAUAUUGAAUUUGUUCGACAAGCCAUAUGUGGGCAUGUCAAAAUUUCUAUGGACAUUUCUCAGCCGUUUCACCUCUCUGCUAAGCCAUACGUGGGCAUGUCAAAAUUUCUAUGGACAUUUCUCAACCGUUUUACCUCUCUGCUGAUACAAAAUGAAAGGACAUGACACUAGUGAAAAUAGUUGCACUCUUCCAAGCUUAUUUUGAGGUGCAUAACGUUGAAUUCGGAAUGAUCAUGCUUAAUGCUCGAUCGUGGUGUUCUUCCCCUUGUGUUAAUCUUUUGAUCGUUGCCAUGCUUAGUGGUGCUUCCCAUCUUUGAGUUUCUUAGUAACUGUGGAUCAGGCUAGGUCUAGCAACUUUAGGGGAGGGGAGGGGAGGGGAGGGGUUGGGGUGGCCGAGGGGUUUGCUAUAGUUGUGGAAAUCUGCUUUUAAAUUAUAGCUAGAGAUUUUGCUGAAGAUUAUAGAUUUUGGCUUGUAGCAUAGCUAGUAAACUUGAUUGUUGCAACUGCUGUGGAAUAAUGAAUUAAUGUUGGAGAGUAAUAUUUGUUGCAAAAACUAGAAUUCAACUUUAACUGUGUCUAUUGUGCCUUUAGAGAGUGGGGGUAUAUAAAGGGGCAUGGUUGUAAUAACUUUGAAUUAGUAGGGGUAGUUUAAUCUGUAUGUUGCCAUGUGGCUUUGGCCUUUGUGAGCUUCUAAAUGCAAACCACAAUGGUUUCAGGGCAUGCCAUUUUAUAAUUACAUCCCACUCUAAACCAAACCAAGUCCCCAGUUAAACAGCAAAAUGCCUAUACCUCAAAUUCUAACCUUACACGUAUUACCACCAUCUCUAUCUCCAUCUCUAACCACCAUUGCACUACUAGCCCCUUACCACCAAACUGUCACUGCAUCAUUAGGGUGGCUGUGAGAACCCACCAACGUACCACAUCUGGGAAUUACUUGUGUUUGUGCAUAUAUACAAACACAUCUUUGAUAUAUGGUAACUUUAAUUAUAUGGUUUUGGGUCGUGAUGGUAACUCCUUUGUGAAUUUGUCUUGUACUAUCUCGGAUGUAGAUUGUUACAGGUGGUAUCAGAGCAUAACCCCUGUCUAUGUAGGUAUGGGGCCAUGGCCACUGGGGGAAUGUUUCUGACUUGUGUGCUAAAGAACAACGAUGAUGAUGUUGCUUGAGUGGGUGGGUGUGAGGACCCAACGAAGUUCCACUUCAUUAGGAUUGCUUGGGUUUGUGAUGUAUAUAUACAAACGCAUUCUUGAUACAUGUUAAUUUUGAGCAUGUGUUUUUAAGCAAUAACGGUGGCUCCCUUGUGAGGUUGCCUUACACGAUUUUGGAUAUGGGUCGUUAUAAUGACCAUCAACCUUUAGUCCCUCCCCCACCCCACCUUAAAUCAUAGUCAUUGGACCUUGAGCAAAACUGAACGGCCCAGCCACCACCCACCACCAUCAAUCACCCUCUCCUCCUUUCGCUACUGCCACUCAUUCCCACCCCUCGGGCUACUAGACUAACCUUUCCUGACCUUCCCAAUCAUUAUCGAUGGCAUUCAACUUAUGUAGCUCGGAGCCAAAUUUGAGUUUCCACCAUUUCUCUUGCUCUAUGAAACUGUUUAACAGCCUGAGCACUGGGGUACCGCAAUGAUACCUCAUGACCAUGCUUAGGUUGGACAAGUCCAAGAGGCAGAACUUAGAAAGCUAUCACACGGUCUUCGCCGCAGGACUAAGAGCACGAGGACUGGAGGUAUGGAGGUAAAAAUGAGUGUGCGCCAAAUUAGGCACUGCAACUUAAGCUCACCCCUAUUUAGCAUGCCUCGGUACUGCGGUGCACUACUUUGGUCAGUCUAAUAGAAGAGAGAAUGCUUGCAUUUUUCAAGGUUUGUUAUAACUAUCCUGGUGGUCAUGCCACUUUGAAUUUGUAGUAAAAUCUGUCCUUUAAGGAGUGCACAUCUCUUGAUUCCUGGUGAGUUUAUGAGGACCAAAUGUGGGUUAGUUAGGACCACUCACAUGACCUGGUGAAAGGUCAUGUGCGUGGAAGCCUAUAAAUAAGGAGCUAUUUUACAGAGAUCAACAAGUUUUGAACACCUUGAUCUUCUCCAGGAGAGAAGAAGUCUCUCUCCCCACUAGAGUAGACUGCAUUUUCUCUCUCUCAUAGUUUAAUCUCUUCAAAUACAUUAUAGAAAACUCCUACUACACUCUAGAUCGAGGUCUAUCUCUUACAUUUCACACAAACAUAUAGACCAUUUAUUCGCAAGUAUGGAUUGGCACGCCAACCAUUCAUUCAACGGUAUGGCUCCAAAAAACAGUAAAAUGUUCAGCCUGACCUUUGAAGUUUUAACGCUGGGCAUUUGUCUGCAUGGUAUAUCUGAACAACCGUAACUUGUUGAACAAUGCAAGUCUGAACAACAGCACGAAAUAAGGAAAAAAGGCUGAAUUGGAGAGGAGAUUGUGGUGGUAUAAUAGGGCAUAUUUUUGAAUUUAUUAUUCGACAAAAUAAUGUUG
rnacentral:lncRNA from 1 species